rnacentral:snRNA from 1 species
GUACUUACCUGGCAGGAGCAAUACCACGAUUAUGAGGGUGGUUUUCCCAAGGGGAGGCUUCUCCAUCCCUCUCCUGCAAUUUCCCCGAAUGUGGGAAACAUGACUGCAUGAUUUUUGGUCAUGGGGGACUGCCGUCAUAGCCUCCAA